UACGUAGGUGACCAGCGUUGUCCGGAUUUACUGGGCGUAAAGAGCGCGCAGGCGGUCGUUCAAGUCGAGUGUGAAAGCCCCCGGCUCAACUGGGGAGGGUCACUCGAUACUGAUCGACUCGAAGGCAGGAGAGGGUAGUGGAAUUCCCGGUGUAGUGGUGAAAUGCGUAGAUAUCGGGAGGAACACCAGUGGCGAAGGCGACUACCUGGCCUGUUCUUGACGCUGAGGCGCGAAAGCUAGGGGAGCAACGGG
rnacentral:rRNA from 1 species